rfam:Anopheles merus strain MAF unplaced genomic scaffold supercont2.37, whole genome shotgun sequence.
GUGUCAUUUGAAAGAAGAGUAGAUUACCACUCCCCCUUGACAAGGAUGGAACACUU